AUAUCGCGCCGGGUAAGAACGGAUAACUUUGAUGAUGUUAAUCACGAGAGCCUGCUCUCCGAUAUCA
rnacentral:tRNA from 1 species